rnacentral:rRNA from 1 species
UACGGGGGAGCAAGCGUUGUUCGGAUUUACUGGGCGUAAAGGGCGCGUAGGCGGCCACCGCAAGUCAGUUGUGGAAAUCUCUGGGCUUAACCCAGAACGGUUCAGGCUGAUACUGCGGGGCUAGAGUGCAGAAGGGGCAACUGGAAUUCUCGGUGUACGCGGUGAAAUGCGUAGAUAUCGAGAGGAACACCUGCGGCGAAGGCGGGUUGCUGGGCUGACACUGACGCUGACAGCGCGAAAGCUAGGGGAGCGAACGGG